CUGGAAAUAAAAAAUAUGAAUAAUGGCAUUCUCAAAAGAAUUUCACUCUAUCGCCCAAGCUGGAGUGCAGUGGCACGAUCUCGGCUCCCUGCAACCUCUGCCACCCGGGUUCAAGCGAUUCUCCUGCCUCAGCCUCCCGCGUAGCUGGGAUUACAGGCACCUGCCACCAUGUCCAGCUAAUUUUUGUAUUUUUAGUAGAGAUGGGAUUUCACCAUGUUAGCCAGGAUGGUCUCGAUGUCUUGACCUUGUGACCCGCCCACCUUGGCCUCCCAAAGUGCUGGGAUUACAGGCGUGAGCCACUGUGCCCGGCCAGAUACUUUAGAAUGUCUUAUUAUGUAAUAUUUGAUAUACUAAAAAAUACAUGUAACGUACAGGUUAGUUUUGAAGUAUAAUAAUAAAAAAAAUUCCUACGCACCCACCAACCAACUACAGAACUAGAAUGUAACCAAUAAUGUUGAAGCAGCUUUAUGGUCCUCCCAUCUGUAUCCUCCUGUCUUGGAAAAUGUACUUUUUCUUCUUCAAAUUUGGGAUUAUAAUAAAUACAUCUUUGAAUCCUGGACUUUCAUUAUAUUAUAACCAUUCACCCAAGAAACAUGUUUUCAUACUUUCUGUCAGAAACUACAAAAACCUUAGUGUGGGUGAAUUUUUUUUCUUCUUUUUUUUUUGAGACAGAAUUUCACUCUAUCGCCCAAGCUGGAGUGCAGUGGCACGAUCUCGGCUCCCUGCAACCU
rnacentral:lncRNA from 1 species